GUGUGAUGUACAAUGAAGACACACUGAAACUUCUUACUUAAAAAGAUCAACUACUGAAGCUUUUUAUUGUUUUAAAGUGUGUUGCUCUGGUGAUGUCAGUCAGAAUGGCUCCUCCUCUUCCUCUGAUCUUUCUCCUCGUGAUUCACUGGGUUUCUGGUGCUGGUUGGGGUGUGAGUUACAGUCCUUCACACAUCUGUGCACUAAAGAACUCAUCAGUGAUAAUGAACUGCACUUAUACAUACCCUACUGGACAUCAGAUCCUGAAAGUGUUCUGGACCAAAAACCCUGUAAAGGGUGAAGAGCCUCCAGAUCUGUCUGAGGAUCCUGAAUACAGUCAGAGGCUUCAGUAUCUGGGAGACACA